UCCAAUGGUGGGCUGGGCGGGGGUCCGAAAGGACGCCGGUAUCCGUUUAGGCCGGUACGCCAACUCCGUUCAGUUCACCACCAGU
rfam:Klebsiella pneumoniae subsp. pneumoniae DSM 30104 Contig00014, whole genome shotgun sequence.